rnacentral:rRNA from 1 species
UACAGAGGUCCCAAGCGUUGUUCGGAUUCACUGGGCGUAAAGGGUGCGUAGGUGGCGAGGCAAGUUUGAUGUGAAAUCUCCGGGCUUAACCCGGAAAUGGCAUUGAAUACUCUCUCGCUAGAGGGUUGGAGGGGGGACUGGAAUUCUCGGUGUAGCAGUGAAAUGCGUAGAUAUCGAGAGGAACACCAGUGGCGAAGGCGAGUCCCUGGACAACUCCUGACACUGAGGCACGAAAGCUAGGGGAGCAAACAGG